UACGUAGGGUCCGAGCGUUGUCCGGAAUUAUUGGGCGUAAAGGGCUCGUAGGCGGUCUGUUGCGUCGGGAGUGAAAACUCACAGCUUAACUGUGGGCGUGCGGGCGAUACGGGCAGACUGGAGUACUGCAGGGGAGACUGGAAUUCCUGGUGUAGCGGUGGAAUGCGCAGAUAUCAGGAAGAACACCAACGGCGAAGGCAGCUCGCUGGGACGGUACUGACGCUGGAGACGCGAAAGCGUGGGGAGCGAACAGG
rnacentral:rRNA from 1 species